UGGUAGAGUACAGUCUGACCGUCUCUCUCCUCUCCUCUAGUCCCUGCUGGUCCCUGGUCCAGUCCAGUCCCAGGUGGUAGAGUACAGUGUGGAUGUUUCUCUACCGGAACACUUCCUCCUGCCUCAUACCAUCACUCUGCCUGUGGCCAGGGACGCACGGGUCACACAGGACAACCUCACAGACUCUGAGGUAGUGAUGGUACCACUGAGGUUCCAUGCCCACGUGGCCGGUCGGUUCCAGUGCCAGCUGGUUCUGCAGUCGUGGCGUGACAUCAGAGUCUACCUGCUGGAAGCCGUGGUUACCGCAGAGGGAGACCACGCCCAGCUAGAGUUCACCACGCCCGCUCACCUGUCUGUCACUCAGGACAUCCCUCUGAUCAAUGAGAGCAGACAGGACUGGCGUC